ensembl:lncRNA
GUGCCCCAGAUGUGUCCCCCAGUGCCACCCGUGGGUGCUGCGCCCGCUGCCGCUGAGCCGUGAGCUGCGCACACACAGACGCCUCAUUAACCUUUCUUGAUUAAGGCAAUUAUCUCCAGCACAUUAUCUUCUAAUCUAAACAUCGCCGCGCGGUGGGGCGGGGGGAGCGGCAGCGCAGCCAUAGGGGCUUUGUGGGAACAGACAGGGCUGUCCCAUGGGUGGGGGUUGGGGGUCCCUUCCUGACACCUCACCCAGGACCCCAUGGGUGGGAGACAGCCAUACAAAUGGACUGGAGAUGCGAGAGGGGGCUGUGGGACCCCAAAGUGGGUAGGGGAUGGGGGGCGAUGGGGUGGGGAGGGGAUGGGGAUAGGAUGGGGGGGUGAUAGGGUGGGGAUGGGGAUGGGAUGGGGAUGGAGAUAGGAUGGGAUUGGAUGGGGAUGGGGUGGGGUGGGGUUGGGGGAGAUGGGGAUGGUGAUGGGGAUAGGAUGGGGAUAGGAUGGGAUUGGAUGAGGAUGGGGUGGGGUGGGGGGAGAGGGGGAUGGUGAUGGGGAUAGGAUGGGGAUGGGGAUAGGAUGGGGGUGCUGCUCCCAUCUGUGAGCCACCCUCGUGUGCCCCACAGCUGUGGGGUGGGAGCGGUGGUGUUCCAGGUGUGGGCAGCCCUCGUGGAUGGGUGGCCGUGAUGGCGCAUCCCUGCGCACACCCACCUGUAUCUGCACACACACACAGCUGCACACCUGCCCCACUCACACACUCACCCCACACCCCCGUGGGUGCCGCCCCACACCCCACAGUGCACGCAGCCUUUCUGCAAGUCCUUUUAUUUCGGUCCCCAACCCCUCCCCCCCCCCCCCAUUGCCACCGCCGUGCCGGGGAUGCAGACCCCAUGGGGACACCGCCGUCCUGAGCCCCACAGCGGGAUGGGGACGGGCGCUGGGGGUCCCUCAGCCCAGACCCCCAUCCCGGGCAGGGCAGGAGCUGGGGAGGGGGGUGGCACACAUGGCGGAGGGGGGGGGGUCCCCUCCAUGGGGGGGGAGGGGGGGGGAUUCUGUUUCAUUUCCUUUAUUUACAAAACUUGAUGGCUCCCCCUUAAUGGAGGUGGCACCCCCCACCUGGAAGUGCUGGAGGGGGGGUGCAGUGCCAGGAUGGGGGGCUCCCAUAGGGCCCAACGGAGCCCCCCGCCCUCACCUGUCACUAAAACUAUCGUUAUUAUUAAUAGGGAUUGGAGCAAUAAUGACGGGAGAAGAGCUGCAGCUGCGUCUGGGGGGCUCCGGCUGCUGGUGGGGCUGACGGAGGGGGGGGCAAAGUGCUGCGUGCCCCACUGGGGGGCUCUGACUGCAUGGGGGGGGGGGGGGGGGUGUGUGUGUGCCCCCCAGCCGGGCGUCCCGACAUGGCCCCGCGUGGCCCCGGCCCUGCGACUGUGGUGGGCGGCUGCACAGCUGGAAAUGCACAUCUGGAGUGGGGGUGGCGGUGAGCUGGGGGGGGGGGGGCAUCCCAUGAUGGAACAUCCCAUGAUGGAAGAUCCCACUGUGGAGCAUCCCACCAUGGAACAUCCCAUGAUGGCCCGUCCCAAAAUGAAGCAUCCCAAAGGGAGCAUCUCAUGAUGGAACAUCCCAACAUGGAGCAUCCCAACAUGGAGCAUCCCAAAGGGAGCACCCCAUGAUGGAACAUCCCAUGAUGGAAUAUCCUAUGAUGGAGCACCCCACAAUGGCACAUCCCACCAUGGAGCACCCCAUGAUGGAGCACCCCACGAUGGCACAUCCCACCAUGGAGCACCCCAUGAUGGAGCACCCCACAAUGGCACAUCCCACCACGGAGCACCCCACCACGCAGUGUCCCACCCCAGAACAUCCCACUGUGGGGCAUCCCGCCCCCAACUGCCCCACAGCGGAGCUUCCCACCACGGAGCACCUCUGUGGGGUGUCCCACCGCGGACAGCCCCACCGCAGAUCACCCCACCCCACAGUUACGGGGCGUUUCGGAGCUAAACUCGGGGGGUUUGGUUCACUGACGCGGCAGAGCCCCGAUCUGACCCCGCCGCCCCCUCCCGUGGGGCCCCACGCGGCAUCACCCCGCUGCCCCAUAGCACCGCGGGCAGCUGGACUGGGAGGUCCCGACCCCUCGGCCCCCAGCCCCAGGCAGGGGCUGCGCUCCGUCCCAUCCACGUCUCGGGGUGGCACGAGGAGCCCAGGCACGGCUGCAAGACACAGAGGGGGUUGGUGGCGCUUCGGGGGUGGGACCGCCAUCAGGGUUGGGCGCAGACCCCGCAGUGCCACCUACUGUGCUUAGGAAUAGGCCAGGCCUUGGAGAGACCGCGCCGGGGUGUGGAACUUGUCUGAGUCCUCAAAGGCUGCGUC